AUAUAAACCUAAGCCCGUGGCGCUGUUUAUCUCUUUUAUGCAGACUGUAGCCACCCCCGCCGAUUCACAAAUCACAAACUCAAAGACCCAUCUCGCUCAACUCAUGCAGUAGCCGCUCACCUCCCAGUCCUCUCAGCUCAAUCCUUCCAAUUCCCUUACUGUCAUAGCCCCUCAAGUUCGCCGCUUGUCCUCGUAUCUGAAGUUCACCGCUCAUCCUCGUAUUUGAAGCUCGCUGUGACUCUUCCUUAGGAUCUGAAGCUUACUAUCGCUCGUCCCUUGAAUCUCAAGCUCCCCGCUGCUCUUCAGCUCAGGGGAACUACAGAAAAAGGUACUAUUGGAUGAGAAAUACCAUUGCCUGCAUGUUGAAGAGGGAUAUAAUUCAAAGGUUUGGUAUCGUGAUGUUGAAGAGGUAAUGGUGCUACUGCAACAAAUGAUCAGAUUUUACAAGUAAUUAAUACUUAAACUUGUCCUUGCCCCGUAAUGCGGUACUUUGGGAUCAUAAUUUUGUAUGUAUUCUUACAAAACUUUCCUUAUUAAUUGCAUCUUUUGGCAGCUGAGGAUCCACCAUAUUCUUUAUAAUGAUUUCAAAGAAAUUAUUGUUAACAAUUUAAAGCAAAAGACUUCUCCUGUAGAAGUUCAUUUGUGCGAUAAUAUAUUUGGUCCAGUUGAGAAAAAAGAAAAGAGAUGGAUGAAUUGUAUUACUUGUCUGUUCUUUUCCUCUUAUUUUGAAAAUAGAGAAUUAAUUGUUAUAGGAUUUGUGAAAGUGAUUCAAGGCAUGCGAGUAGGAGGAAUAAGAAGGAUUAUUUGUCCCGAGAACUAUGUACCGGCCAAUAUCUUUAAAAUCUUUUGUAUAUAGAUUCUCUAAAUAUUUAUUUUUAUUUUUGUUAGAAUAAUAUAUUGAAUUUUUGUUAAAUAAUAUGCUAAAUUUUUAAAGGAUAUGAAA